UUGAAUUUGAUUGCAUCGUCUCUUUG
rnacentral:sRNA from 1 species